rnacentral:rRNA from 1 species
GAUGAACGCUAGCGGGAGGCCUAACACAUGCAAGCCGAGCGGUAGAGUUUCUUCGGAAACUUGAGAGCGGCGCACGGGUGCGUAACACGUGUGCAACCUACCUUUAUCUGGGGGAUAGCCUUUCGAAAGGAAGAUUAAUACCCCAUAAUAUAAUGAUUGGCAUCAAUUAUUAUUGAAAACUCCGGUGGAUAGAGAUGGGCACGCGCAAGAUUAGAUAGUUGGUGAGGUAACGGCUCACCAAGUCAAUGAUCUUUAGGGGUCCUGAGAGGGAGAUCCCCCACACUGGUACUGAGACACGGACCAGACUCCUACGGGAGGCAGCAGUGAGGAAUAUUGGACAAUGGGUGAGAGCCUGAUCCAGCCAUCCCGCGUGAAGGAUGACGGUCCUAUGGAUUGUAAACUUCUUUUGUACAGGGAUAAACCUACCCUCGUGAGGGUAGCUGAAGGGACUGUACGAAUAAGCACCGGCUAACUCCG